rnacentral:tRNA from 1 species
GGAAACGUAGCUCAAUAGGCAGAGCGCACGGCACGUGUUUAUUAACUGUGAGGUUAGCGGUUCGAGUCCGCUCGUUUUCCA